rnacentral:tRNA from 1 species
GGGGAGGUGGCUCAAUGGUAGAGCGCUUGCCUUGCAUGCAUGAGGCCCCGGGUUCGAUUCCUCAGCACCA